rnacentral:tRNA from 2 species
CAAGACGUAGCCUUAACGAAAGCAUUCAGCUUACACCUGAAAGAUAUCUGUUCACUCCAGAUCGUCUUGA